rnacentral:tRNA from 1 species
GCCAGAGUGGCGAAAUCGGUAGACGCGGCGGACUCAAAAUCCGUUAAGGCAAAACCUUGUGUCGGUUCGAGUCCGACCUCUGGCA